rnacentral:rRNA from 1 species
GACGAGCGCUGGCGGCGUGCCUAAUACAUGCAAGUUGAGCGCUGAAGGUUGGUACUUGUACCAACUGGAUGAGCAGCGCACGGGUGAGUAACGCGUGGGGAAUCUGCCUUUGAGCGGGGGACAACAUUUGGAAACGAAUGCUAAUACCGCAUAAAAACUUUAAACACAAGUUUUAAGUUUGAAAGAUGCAAUUGCAUCACUCAAAGAUGAUCCCGCGUUGUAUUAGCUAGUUGGUGAGGUAAAGGCUCACCAAGGCGAUGAUACAUAGCCGACCUGAGAGGGUGAUCGGCCACAUUGGGACUGAGACACGGCCCAAAGGCCUACGGGAGGCAGCAGUAGGGAAUCUUCGGCAAUGGACGAAAGUCUGACCGAGCAACGCCGCGUGAGUGAAGAAGGUUUUCGGAUCGUAAAACUCGGUUGGUAGAGAAGAACGUUGGUGAGAGUGGAAAGCUCAUCAAGUGACGGUAACUACCCAGAAAGGGACGGCUAACUACGUG